AAACAUAUGUUAUUCAUCAAUUUAUUUGGUACAUCCCAUAGAUGGCAUAAUAACAUCAAGAUAAAACUGAUACCAUCUGUAAAGUACCUUGUGUAGUUCAACCCCGAGGAAUAAAACCUAAUAAUACAAUAUAACUAUAAACUCUAUCAACAGGCAUCACCCAUCAGUAUAUACAGAAAACUUGAUACACAACAACACACCUCUAGCUAGCAUUACAAAUAGCAAAGCAGACAACUCAUAAAUCGCUUUAUUCCUUUCUUACCCUUCAGCUGGUUUGGGCAUGUGUUCUUUUGUAUACACACGGUGCCGCCUUUCUCUCCCAUAUAUGACCCAGAAUGUAAGGGAAAGCAAUACAGCUAAACCAACCAUCACCAGUCCAAUGUAAACCCAUUUGCUGUAACGCUGAAGUCCGGGGCAGUAUAUGCGAUAUAUAUCUCCAAAUGUCUGCCUAACAAAAUCACAAUCUUCUAGAUCAACCAGGAAAGGACCAUAAUGGUACAAUCCAAAGCUCACAUUUACAGCAGCUGCCAUCUGGCCGUAGAUGAUCGGAGUCAGACGGCCAGUUGUGGAACAAAUGCCACUAGGGGAAACUUGACAUACAUAAUUAUCCCAGACCUUUGUAGCAUUGCUCAAGUCCACUUCACCAGGACUACAGGAUCUAUCAGUCAAAUCCGAGUAAAACGGAUUGCAAAGCAUAGGUAGUUUAGGUCCAGACUGAUUGUAGUACAAAGGACGAAAGCUAGGGGAGAAGUUGUUAUUGGAAAUAUUAGUAAUGACCUGGUUAACAACAUCAACCAGCUUAGAAGUGACUUCUUUGCUUUUUGUAAGGGUCUCUUGUGCAGUGGCAUUGUCCACACACGGCAAGAUAUCAUCUAAAGCAGUAUGAGCAAGAGGGUGUUGGACCCAUUGAUUCAUUGCUACACAAGAGUCUGCAGUCACAUUGUGGAGAACAAGAAAUAUGCCACACAAAAUUAAAGUCCCAGUGACAAGAAUCCAUCCAAAUAUCACCAAGAUAUAAACGAAAGCCUGCAUCCCGAAUAUUGAAAGUACAAAUCCCAGAAAUGUCAAAAGAAGCAUAAUGGCUGAUAGAAUAAUAAGAGCCAAUCUCACAGACUCUACCAAACCAGCUAUGUCAUCUUUAUUGUCUUCUGUUUUAUUGGCAAGGGUAUUAGCAGAAGAAUUAAUUUUGGUUUGGAUGCGGUCUAUGUCUGUUUGGACCAAACCAGGAAGCAAAACUUGAUCCACAGCAAUAAGUUUGGCUGCAGCUAAAUAACCUGAGACGUUUCUGAGACUAUCAGCGGUGGUAUUUGCCUGAUGAACCACAUAAUCCAACGUGUUAACUGUACUGCUGUAAAACUUUCCCUGGCCAAUGUACAAAAUGAUACAUCCAACGACUGCAGCAAUGGUAAAAAGUAUGAGGAGUAUGAGGGACAGAGCAUAAGCUAUUCGGGAGUAGCCAUAAGGAACUCUUCUACAGCAACAGUAGCAGAGACAGAUGAAUAACAAGCACAGCGCGAAGAUCACAAACCAGAUCAGCGCAACGACAAAGAAUGGAGCUGCAGUGAAAGCCACAGAAGCCCAGUAAUGUCGGUUACUG
rnacentral:misc_RNA from 1 species